UAGGGAAUCUUCCACAAUGGGCGAAAGCCUGAUGGAGCAACGCCGCGUGUGUGAUGAAGGGUUUCGGCUCGUAAAACACUGUUGUAAGAGAAGAAUGGCAUUGAGAGUAACUGUUCAAUGUGUGACGGUAUCUUACCAGAAAGGAACGGCUAAAUACGUGCCCG
rnacentral:rRNA from 1 species